rnacentral:rRNA from 1 species
ACGAACGCUGGCGGCGUGCUUAACACAUGCAAGUCGAACGGAAAGGCCCUGCUUUUGUGGGGUGCUCGAGUGGCGAACGGGUGAGUAACACGUGAGUAACCUGCCCUUGACUUUGGGAUAACUUCAGGAAACUGGGGCUAAUACCGGAUAGGAGCUCCUGCUGCAUGGUGGGGGUUGGAAAGUUUCGGCGGUUGGGGAUGGACUCGCGGCUUAUCAGCUUGUUGGUGGGGUAGUGGCUUACCAAGGCUUUGACGGGUAGCCGGCCUGAGAGGGUGACCGGCCACAUUGGGACUGAGAUACGGCCCUGACUCCUACGGGAGGCAGCAGUGGGGAAUAUUGCACAAUGGGCGGAAGCCUGAUGCAGCAACGCCGCGUGCGGGAUGACGGCCUUCGGGUUGUAAACCGCUUUCGCCUGCGACGAAGCGUGAGUGACGGUAAUGGGUAAAGAAGCACCGGCUAACUACGUG